rnacentral:rRNA from 1 species
CGGUGUUUAACUGGCGUGAUGUGGGACGUCCUACCGGUGGGCUUAGCCUCGCGAGGGGCGGCCCAACUAAUAUCCCGUCGCGGUGCUCUUUACUGAGUGUCGAGUCGGGCCGGGUACGUUUACUUUGAACAAAUUAGAGUGCUUAAAGCAGGCUAUCCUCGCCUGAAUACUGCGUGCAUGGAAUAAUGGAAUAGGACCUCGGUUCUAUUUUGUUGGUUUUCGGAACCCCGAGGUAAUGAUUAAUAGGGACAGAUGGGGGCAUUCGUAUUGCGACGUUAGAGGUGAAAUUCUUGGAUCGUCGCAAGACGGACAGAAGCGAAAGCAUUUGCCAAAAAUGUUUUCAUUAAUCAAGAACGAAAGUUAGAGGUUCGAAGGCGAUCAGAUACCGCCCUAGUUCUAACCAUAAACGAUGCCAGCUAGCGAUCCGCCGAAGUUCCUCCGAUGACUCGGCGGGCAGCUUCCGGGAAACCAAAGCUUUUGGGUUCCGGGGGAAGUAUGGUUGCAAAGCUGAAACUUAAAGGAAUUGACGGAAGGGCACCACCAGGAGUGGAGCCUGCGGCUUAAUUUGACUCAACACGGGAAACCUCACCAGGCCCAGACACCGGAAGGAUUGACAGAUUGAUAGCUCUUUCUUGAUUCGGUGGGUGGUGGUGCAUGGGCCGUUCUUAGUUGGUGGAGCGAUUUGUCUGGUUAAUUCCGAUAACGAACGAGACUCUAGCCUGCUAAAUAGGCGUACCUUAUGGUAUCGCGAAGGCCCCCGGCUUCGGCCGGUGGGUUUUUACUACCAACGUACAAACAAAUCUUCUUAGAGGGCACAGGCGG